AAGUCGUAACAAGGUUUCCGUAGGUGAACCUGCGGAAGGAUCAUUAAUGAUUUUUAAAGCGAGUCGAGCGUUAAGCGAGGCUUGCGAAAUAUUUAAAACCCCACUCUUUUUAACCUUUUAACCUUAAAAAAUAAAUCAUGAUACAUGAAUUUAAAAAAAAAGAUCACUUUCAACAACGGAUCUCUUGGCUCUC
rnacentral:misc_RNA from 1 species